ensembl:lncRNA
CGAUGAACCACGUAAGUCAUUCUCUGUUAUUAUAGGAAGACAGCGACACAACGCUGCGCACGUUGCGUAAUGCCACCACAACCGCUCGCGCGCAGCGUGAACAGGUCGUAUUCAAAGCACAGAGUCGAUUACGUAACAAAGUAAAAAGUAAUGAAGGAAAUCCUUCUUUUUUUUUUAAAGUCACGCAUUUGGAGGCGAACAUUAAACAUGGGGAGAAGGCGUUGAUGAAACGGGGUUAGGCACACUCUUCUUCUUCUUCUUCUUCUUCUUCUUGUUCAUCGACGACAUGACAACAGGUAAAUUCAACUGCGUCAGCGGACGAGCCACAUGGGGACCUGCGGGAAUUUCCGCCUGCGCGUGCUGCGGCUGAAAUGCGAUGCGUUGUGCCACCGCGGCGAUGGUAAAACGAAGACGUAAACAACGCGCGGAGCGGAUGGCGUGCGACGGGAGAAGUGGGAAUAGGAUGCUGCGCAGCAGACGGGUGGACCGCGGGGGGCGCUGCUGAGUAACAACCUGUGGGGCUGUGGUCAUCUGCUGGGAAGGGAUGUCGACGCACAGACCUUGUGACGCACACCUGUCACCUUGCCGUCGACAACCGCCCGGCCUCUCCAGCCCUCCCCGAAGACAGAGAGAGAGUUUCAGAACUUUGAUGAUGCGUACGGAAUCCCGAGGGAAUGUCACUACGGGGGUUAAAGGUCAAGGCAGGGAGUGGGGGGGGGGCUCGCAGCAGCAGCAGCAGCUCCCCCUUCUGCUGGCCGAACACCUGAACUUCAUGUCAGACGCUUACAAGAACGUCUUGUGCGUCGUGUCCUCUGCAGUCGGGGUGUUUACAAAUGACUCACGAGGCUGACCAGUGGAACGAGUGACCCACUUCCACGGGCAGCAAGAAACGUGACCUCAAUAGUUAUUUUGCCAGUGUUUUAGGGAGGGGGGAGGGGGGGGGGGCGUUGCUUCUCGAAUCUAGUUUAAUAAAUACCUUUACGGAUCCGUUCUCUCUUCCCGAGAGAGUGCGUCGCUUGUGGCCCCUGUGACAAACUUUUUUCUUCUUCUUCUUCAAAAUCCCAUCGCUCCCACACCGGGAUGAUACAAUGGGAGCUGGCGAGGAGCCAAGAGAUGACGGUGCUAAAAUUAAACCCGCUGCGCCGCCGGCCUCGCAGGAUGAUGAUGAUGGCGAUGUAUUAAUAGACACGUGUGAGGCGGCGUUGGUUCGCGGGUAUCAUUAGCAGCCCGACGCCCUAUGAGCUGCAAUAGGAGGCGGAACCGGGGA